rfam:Tilletiaria anomala TBC 951 K437scaffold_14, whole genome shotgun sequence.
GGCGUCGUGCCUGAGUGGUCAUAGGGUUCGCCUCGAAUCAGUUUCGAAGUAGCUCUACUGUAAGCGAAUGGGCUUUGCCCGCACAGGUUCGAAUCCUGUCGGCGUCG